rnacentral:tRNA from 1 species
GGGGCGUUAGCUCAGCUGGGAGAGCACUAGCUUUGCAAGCUAGGGGUCGCGAGUUCGAGCCUCGCACGCUCCA